rnacentral:ncRNA from 1 species
UUUAAAAUACCAAAAGGCCAUUUGCGGAUGGGCCCGAUUGAUUCGGGUGAAUGACCGCCAAUUGUGAUUUUUUUGCCCCCAGUGGCUUUUGAAAUGUUCAAAAGGGGAAGGAAAAUUUCAAAUCCAAGGCGGCGGGGUAAAACGGGCGGGGAGGUAACUAUUGACUUUUUUUAAGGGUAGCCCAAAAUGCCCUCGUUCAUUUUAAUUAGUGGACGGCGGUAUGAAUGGAUUCAACCAAGAUUCCUUUCUGUCCCCUAUUUUACUAUUCUAGCGAAACCCACAGCCCAAGGGAAACGGGCUUGGCAAAAUUCAGCGGGGAAAAGAAAGACCCUGUUGAGCUUGACUUUAGUCUGACUCUGUGAAGAGACAUGAAAGGUGUAGCAUAGGUGGGGAGAUUGUCAAUUUGCCAUCGUUCACGCGAUGGUCCCGGUGAUCGCCCAAUGAAAUACCACUACUUUGAUCGUUUCUUUACUUAUUCGGUAAAGCGAAAAAAUUGUGGCCAAUUUGGCGGCGUUUAUGUCGCUGUUGGUCAUUGUUUUCAUGUUGGAUUGAAGCUUUGUUUACAGCCGUCGCUUUGUGUCUUCAUUUGGCGCAUUGUUGUACUGGGUUAUCCCAGUGUGUGAUGUGGUCACAAUGGAUGAUCGGCGAUAGGCUUGAAGUGAUUCGCUCCGGAAACAGUGUCAGACGGGGAGUUUGACUGGGGCGGUACAUCUGUUAAACGAUAACGCAGGUGUCCUAAGGUAAGCUCAGCGAGGACAGAAACCUCGCCUAGAGUAAACGGGCACAAGCUUACUUGAUUUUGAUUUCCAGUACGAAUAGAAACCGCGAAAGCGUGGCCUAUCGAUCCUUUUGAUUGUGUCGUUGUCAUGCAAGAGGUGUCAGAAAAGUUACCACAGGGUUUUCCUUUCUUGUGGCAGCCAAGCGUCCA